ACGUAGGGGGCGAGCGUUGUCCGGAUUUACUGGGCGUAAAGCGCGUGUAGGCGGCGGCUUAAGUCGGGUGUGAAAGCCCGGGGCUCAACCCCGGGAUGCCGCCCGAGACUGGGUCGCUUGAGGACGGAAGAGGGGAGUGGAAUUCCUGGUGUAGCGGUGAAAUGCGUAGAGAUCAGGAGGAACACCCGUGGCGAAGGCGGCUCCCUGGUCCGUUUCUGACGCUGAGACGCGAAAGCGCGGGGAGCGAACGGGA
rnacentral:rRNA from 1 species